AUGGGGAGCAGCCGGCCGCGCACCAAGGACUUCUUCGCAGCCCCGACGCUCUCCCUCUCGCUUGCAGGUGCGUUCGCCAGGAAGGCGCCGAGCGGAGACGAAGUGGAAGAAGGCGAGGAGGGGAGUGUCGGGGUAAGAAGCGGGCCACCAGGUGGGGAGGUGGAUGUAAGCAGCGAGAACACGGGGCCGGCCGGCAGCCAGUCCGGCGACGGCUCCGGGGAAGAAGAAGAAGGCCAUGCCGAUGGCGGUAAAAGGAAGAAGAGGAGCAGGAAGAGCUACCACAGGCACACCUCUGAACAAGUUAGGGUUAUGGAAGCGGUAUUCAAAGAGUCGCCACAUCCAGACGAAAAGCAGCGGCAGCAGCUCAGCAAGCAGCUAGGACUGUCUCCACGCCAAGUCAAGUUCUGGUUUCAGAACCGACGAACUCAGAUCAAGUGUGUUCGAUCAGGCGACUCAGGAGCGGCACGAGAACUCGCUGCUCAAGUCCGAGCUGGAGAAUCUCCAGAAGGAGAACCGCGCCAUGAGACAGCUUGCCAAGGGACCCUCACGCUGCCCAAGCUGCGGCGCCGCAGCAGCCUCGACCGAUGGCUUCGACGCCGCCGCAGCCAACCAAGAACAGCUGCUGCAGCUGGAGAACGCCAAGCUCAGAGCCGAGGUUCAUGCCGCUGCCCCGCCAACGCAGCCUUCGGUCGCGUGCGAUCUGCUGGUGCCAAUCAGAAACUGAUGCUGUGGAAGUGGAACCCAUUUCAGGUAGAGAAGCUGCGGCGGGCGCUAGGCACAGCCGCGGCCGACGGCGCCGCCUCCCCUGCCUCGCCGCCGUUCUCCGCGGCCACCGCCCAGAUGAGCAGCAACCGGAGCCCGUUUGAAGUUUACGGCGGCGGCUUGGCUGGCCGUGACAGGCAGAGCGUCCUGGGGCUGGCCGGCCGCGCGCUGGAAGAGCUGAAGACGAUGUGUUCCUCCGGUGAGCCUCUCUGGGUGCGGAGCGUCGAGACCGGCCGAGACAUUCUCAACUACGACGAGUACGUGCGCCUGUUCCGGCGCGACGACGGCCCCGGCGAUCGGCGGGCCGGCUGGUCGGUCGAGGCGUCACGUGAAACCGGGCUGGUUUACCUUGACGCGACGAAGCUUGUGUAUGCUUUCAUGGAUGUGAACCAAUGGAAAGAGCUCUUCCCUUCCAUGAUCUCGAAGGCAUCGACGUUGGACGUGAUCCGCACCCGCGACGACGACGAUGGACACGACGGCGUGGUGCAGCUGAUGUUUGCAGAGGUCCAGAUGCUGACACCAAUGAUACCCACAAGGGAGUUCUACUUCGCCCGCUACUGCAAGAAGCUGGCCGCGGAAAAAUGGGUCAUCGUCGACGUGUCCUUCGACAAGGCUGAAGCCGACGUCGGCACGUCGCCGCUGCUCACGUGCUGGAAGAAUCCCUCGGGAUGCAUCAUCGAAGAGCAGGCAAACGGCCAUUCCAGGGUGACAUGGAUGGAGCACACGAGAUGCCGCGAGUGCGCGGUCCCGUCCAUGUACAGGGCGGUGACCGCGAGCGGCCUGGCGUUCGGCGCGAGGCGCUGGGUGGCGACGCUCCAGCUCCAGUGCGAGAGGAUGGUCUUCUGGGUGGCGACCAACGUGCCGACGAGGGACAACAGCGGGGUCUCCACACUGGCAGGGAGGAGGAGCGUCCUGAAGCUGGCGCACCGAAUGACCUCGAGCCUCUGCCGCGUCAUGGGCGGGUCGCGUGGCCUGGCGUGGAGCAGGGCGCCGAGAGCCGGCGCCGGCGACGUCCGGCUGACCUCCCGGACGAACGCCGGCGACCCCGGCGAGCCGCAGGGGCUGAUCGCCUGCGCCGUGCUGUCCACGUGGCUCCCCGUCAGCCCGACGGCCCUCCUGGAUUUCCUGAGGGACGAAUCACGCCGGCCCGAGUGGGAUGUCACGCUGGCCGGACGAGCCGUGCAAUGUCGCGUGAACCUGACCAAGGGGAAGGACCGUUGCAACUGCGUCACCGCCUACGUCAGUUCCAGAGCCGACGGACAGGGCGGCGAGUGGGUCGUGCAGGACAGCUGCACCAGCCCGUGCGAGUCGAUCGUCGCGUACGCGCCGGUCGACGCCGCCGUCCUGCAGCCGGUCAUCAGCGGGCACGACUCAAGCGGCGUGGCCCUCCUGCCGUGCGGCUUCGCGGUCGUGCCGGACGGGCUGGAGGCCAGGCCCGCGGUGAUCAGGUCCAGGAGGGAAGACGGGGCGGCGGCGGGGUCGCUCGUCACCGUCGCGUUCCAGGUGCUGGCCAGCUCGUCGCCGGCGGCCGCGCUCUCGCCGGAGUCGGCGGAGACCGUGACGAGCCUGGCGUCGUGCACGCUGCGUCGCGUAAAAAAAGCCUUGGGGUGCCAAGACCGCUAA
rnacentral:rRNA from 1 species